rnacentral:rRNA from 1 species
AGAGUUUGAUCCUGGCUCAGGACGAACGCUGGCGGCGUGCCUAAUACAUGCAAGUAGAACGCUGAAGAGAGGAGCUUGCUCUUCUUGGAUGAGUUGCGAACGGGUGAGUAACGCGUAGGUAACCUGCCUUGUAGCGGGGGAUAACUAUUGGAAACGAUAGCUAAUACCGCAUAACAAUGGAUGACACAUGUCAUUUAUUUGAAAGGGGCAAUUGUUCCACUACAAGAUGGACCUGCGUUGUAUUAGCUAGUAGGUGAGGUAAUGGCUCACCUAGGCGACGAUACAUAGCCGACCUGAGAGGGUGAUCGGCCACACUGGGACUGAGACACGGCCCAGACUCCUACGGGAGGCAGCAGUAGGGAAUCUUCGGCAAUGGGGGCAACCCUGACCGAGCAACGCCGCGUGAGUGAAGAAGGUUUUCGGAUCGUAAAGCUCUGUUGUAAGUCAAGAACGGGUGUGAGAGUGGAAAGUUCACACUGUGACGGUAGCUUACCAGAAAGGGACGGCUAACUACGUGCCAGCAGCCGCGGUAAUACGUAGGUCCCGAGCGUUGUCCGGAUUUAUUGGGCGUAAAGCGAGCGCAGGCGGUUUGAUAAGUCUGAAGUUAAAGGCUGUGGCUCAACCAUAGUUCGCUUUGGAAACUGUCAAACUUGAGUGCAGAAGGGGAGAGUGGAAUUCCAUGUGUAGCGGUGAAAUGCGUAGAUAUAUGGAGGAACACCGGUGGCGAAAGCGGCUCUCUGGUCUGUAACUGACGCUGAGGCUCGAAAGCGUGGGGAGCGAACAGGAUUAGAUACCCUGGUAGUCCACGCCGUAAACGAUGAGUGCUAGGUGUUGGAUCCUUUCCGGGAUUCAGUGCCGCAGCUAACGCAUUAAGCACUCCGCCUGGGGAGUACGACCGCAAGGUUGAAACUCAAAGGAAUUGACGGGGGCCCGCACAAGCGGUGGAGCAUGUGGUUUAAUUCGAAGCAACGCGAAGAACCUUACCAGGUCUUGACAUCCCGAUGCUAUUUCUAGAGAUAGAAAGUUACUUCGGUACAUCGGUGACAGGUGGUGCAUGGUUGUCGUCAGCUCGUGUCGUGAGAUGUUGGGUUAAGUCCCGCAACGAGCGCAACCCCUAUUGUUAGUUGCCAUCAUUCAGUUGGGCACUCUAGCGAGACUGCCGGUAAUAAACCGGAGGAAGGUGGGGAUGACGUCAAAUCAUCAUGCCCCUUAUGACCUGGGCUACACACGUGCCACAAUGGUUGGUACAACGAGUUGCGAGUCGGUGACGGCGAGCUAAUCUCUUAAAGCCAAUCUCAGUUCGGAUUGUAGGCUGCAACUCGCCUACAUGAAGUCGGAAUCGCUAGUAAUCGCGGAUCAGCACGCCGCGGUGAAUACGUUCCCGGGCCUUGUACACACCGCCCGUCACACCACGAGAGUUUGUAACACCCGAAGUCGGUGAGGUAACCUUUUGGAGCCAGCCGCCUAAGGUGGGACAGAUGAUUGGGGUGAAGUCGUAACAAGGUA